rnacentral:rRNA from 1 species
CCUACGGGAGGCUGCAGUAGGGAAUCUUCCACAAUGGGCGAAAGCCUGAUGGAGCAACGCCGCGUGGGUGAAGAAGGUCUUCGGAUCGUAAAACCCUGUUGUUAGAGAAGAAAGUGCGUGAGAGUAACUGUUCACGUUUCGACGGUAUCUAACCAGAAAGCCACGGCUAACUACGUGCCAGCAGCCGCGGUAAUACGUAGGUGGCAAGCGUUAUCCGGAUUUAUUGGGCGUAAAGGGAACGCAGGUGGUCUUUUAAGUCUGAUGUGAAAGUCUUCGGCUUAACCGGAGUAGUGCAUUGGAAACUGGGAGACUUGAGUACAGAAGAGGGGGGGGGAAUUCGAGGUGUAGCGGUGAAAUGCUUAGAUAUAACGAAGAACCCCGAUGGCGAAAGCAGGUCACUGGUCUGUAACUGACGCUGAGGUUCGAAAGCGUGGGUAGCAAACAGGAUUAGAUACCCGAGUAGUC